CAUCUUCCAGCACAGUGUUGGUUGGUCUAAUUGUGAAGCUCCUAACACUGUCUGGUAAAGAUGGC
rnacentral:pre_miRNA from 1 species